rnacentral:sRNA from 2 species
GCUCGGUCACCGCCUAAUCGGCGCACCCGCAGCGGGUGCCCGAGCCGGGGACCCACGUUGUCCUCUGGGGUGAAUCCCCUCCGACCGCGCCAGCGGGACGAGGGGUAGGGCUGAUCUUCCCAGCCCGAACCCGUCAGCUAACUCGGUCGGCGGACGAACGGAAGAAAU